rnacentral:rRNA from 1 species
UUAAGCGACUAAGCGUACACGGUGGAUGCCCUGGCAGUCAGAGGCGAUGAAGGACGUGCUAAUCUGCGAUAAGCGUCGGUAAGGUGAUAUGAACCGUUAUAACCGGCGAUUUCCGAAUGGGGAAACCCAGUGUGAUUCGUCACACUAUCAUUAACUGAAUCCAUAGGUUAAUGAGGCGAACCGGGGGAACUGAAACAUCUAAGUACCCCGAGGAAAAGAAAUCAACCGAGAUUCCCCCAGUAGCGGCGAGCGAACGGGGAGCAGCCCAGAGCCUGAAUCAGUGUGUGUGUUAGUGGAAGCGUCUGGAAAGGCGCGCGAUACAGGGUGACAGCCCCGUACACAAAAAUGCACAUACUGUGAGCUCGAUGAGUAGGGCGGGACACGUGGUAUCCUGUCUGAAUAUGGGGGGACCAUCCUCCAAGGCUAAAUACUCCUGACUGACCGAUAGUGAACCAGUACCGUGAGGGAAAGGCGAAAAGAACCCCGGCGAGGGGAGUGAAAAAGAACCUGAAACCGUGUACGUACAAGCAGUGGGAGCACAGAGCAAUCUGUGUGACUGCGUACCUUUUGUAUAAUGGGUCAGCGACUUAUAUUCUGUAGCAAGGUUAACCGAAUAGGGGAGCCGAAGGGAAACCGAGUCUUAACUGGGCGUUAAGUUGCAGGGUAUAGACCCGAAACCCGGUGAUCUAGCCAUGGGCAGGUUGAAGGUUGGGUAACACUAACUGGAGACCGAACGACUAAUGUUGAAAAAUUAGCGGAUGACUUGUGGCUGGGGGUGAAAGGCCAAUCAAACCGGGAGAUAGCUGGUUCUCCCCGAAAGCUAUUUAGGUAGCGCCUCGUGAAUUCAUCUCCGGGGGUAGAGCACUGUUUCGGCAAGGGGGUCAUCCCGACUUACCAACCCGAUGCAAACUGCGAAUACCGGAGAAUGUUAUCACGGGAGACACACGGCGGGUGCUAACGUCCGUCGUGAAGAGGGAAACAACCCAGACCGCCAGCUAAGGUCCCAAAGUCAUGGUUAAGUGGGAAACGAUGUGGGAAGGCCCAGACAGCCAGGAUGUUGGCUUAGAAGCAGCCAUCAUUUAAAGAAAGCGUAAUAGCUCACUGGUCGAGUCGGCCUGCGCGGAAGAUGUAACGGGGCUAAACCAUGCACCGAAGCUGCGGCAGCGACGCUUAUGCGUUGUUGGGUAGGGGAGCGUUCUGUAAGCCUGCGAAGGUGUGCUGUGAGGCAUGCUGGAGGUAUCAGAAGUGCGAAUGCUGACAUAAGUAACGAUAAAGCGGGUGAAAAGCCCGCUCGCCGGAAGACCAAGGGUUCCUGUCCAACGUUAAUCGGGGCAGGGUGAGUCGACCCCUAAGGCGAGGCCGAAAGGCGUAGUCGAUGGGAAACAGGUUAAUAUUCCUGUACUUGGUGUUACUGCGAAGGGGGGACGGAGAAGGCUAUGUUGGCCGGGCGACGGUUGUCCCGGUUUAAGCGUGUAGGCUGGUUUUCCAGGCAAAUCCGGAAAAUCAAGGCUGAGGCGUGAUGACGAGGCACUACGGUGCUGAAGCAACAAAUGCCCUGCUUCCAGGAAAAGCCUCUAAGCAUCAGGUAACAUCAAAUCGUACCCCAAACCGACACAGGUGGUCAGGUAGAGAAUACCAAGGCGCUUGAGAGAACUCGGGUGAAGGAACUAGGCAAAAUGGUGCCGUAACUUCGGGAGAAGGCACGCUGAUACGUAGGUGAAGUCCCUCGCGGAUGGAGCUGAAAUCAGUCGAAGAUACCAGCUGGCUGCAACUGUUUAUUAAAAACACAGCACUGUGCAAACACGAAAGUGGACGUAUACGGUGUGACGCCUGCCCGGUGCCGGAAGGUUAAUUGAUGGGGUCAGCGCAAGCGAAGCUCUUGAUCGAAGCCCCGGUAAACGGCGGCCGUAACUAUAACGGUCCUAAGGUAGCGAAAUUCCUUGUCGGGUAAGUUCCGACCUGCACGAAUGGCGUAAUGAUGGCCAGGCUGUCUCCACCCGAGACUCAGUGAAAUUGAACUCGCUGUGAAGAUGCAGUGUACCCGCGGCAAGACGGAAAGACCCCGUGAACCUUUACUAUAGCUUGACACUGAACAUUGAGCCUUGAUGUGUAGGAUAGGUGGGAGGCUUUGAAGUGUGGACGCCAGUCUGCAUGGAGCCGGCCUUGAAAUACCACCCUUUAAUGUUUGAUGUUCUAACGUUGACCCGUGAUCCGGGUUGCGGACAGUGUCUGGUGGGUAGUUUGACUGGGGCGGUCUCCUCCUAAAGAGUAACGGAGGAGCACGAAGGUUGGCUAAUCCUGGUCGGACAUCAGGAGGUUAGUGCAAUGGCAUAAGCCAGCUUGACUGCGAGCGUGACGGCGCGAGCAGGUGCGAAAGCAGGUCAUAGUGAUCCGGUGGUUCUGAAUGGAAGGGCCAUCGCUCAACGGAUAAAAGGUACUCCGGGGAUAACAGGCUGAUACCGCCCAAGAGUUCAUAUCGACGGCGGUGUUUGGCACCUCGAUGUCGGCUCAUCACAUCCUGGGGCUGAAGUAGGUCCCAAGGGUAUGGCUGUUCGCCAUUUAAAGUGGUACGCGAGCUGGGUUUAGAACGUCGUGAGACAGUUCGGUCCCUAUCUGCCGUGGGCGCUGGAGAACUGAGGGGGGCUGCUCCUAGUACGAGAGGACCGGAGUGGACGCAUCACUGGUGUUCGGGUUGUCAUGCCAAUGGCACUGCCCGGUAGCUAAAUGCGGAAGAGAUAAGUGCUGAAAGCAUCUAAGCACGAAACUUGCCCCGAGAUGAGUUCUCCCUGACUCCUUGAGAGUCCUGAAGGAACGUUGAAGACGACGACGUUGAUAGGCCGGGUGUGUAAGCGCAGCGAUGCGUUGAGCUAACCGGUACUAAUGAACCGUGAGGCUUAACCUU